CAGCCCUUGACAUGUCCAGGACCGGUCGCAGAGAUGUGACCCUCUCUUCGGAGCCUGGAACACAGGUGCUGCAUGGCUGUCGUCAGCUCGUGUCGUGAGAUGUUGGGUUAAGUCCCGCAACGAGCGCAACCCCCGUCCUUAGUUGCUACCAUUUAGUUGAGCACUCUAAGGAGACUGCCGGUGAUAAGCCGCGAGGAAGGUGGGGAUGACGUCAAGUCCUCAUGGCCCUUACGGGCUGGGCUACACACGUGCUACAAUGGCGGUGACAAUGGGAUGCUAAGGGGCGACCCUUCGCAAAUCUCAAAAAGCCGUCUCAGUUCGGAUUGGGCUCUGCAACUCGAGCCCAUGAAGUUGGAAUCGCUAGUAAUCGUGGAUCAGCACGCCACGGUGAAUA
rnacentral:rRNA from 1 species